UCCAAUUGUCUAGGCUCAUAUUGAUCCCACAUUUAACCAGAAUCAAACUGUAGAUUUCAGGCGACGAAAUCCAUUUAGGAAUCGUUUUCAUCUAAAACUGGUUGUACGAUAGAUCCAGAGAGCCGAUGCCAUCAACAUGUAAAAGUCGUGACUCCACAAGGCAAGAUGGGUUACACAUGGAAGAGCGGGAAUAACACAAGUUUGCAAGUGACACGUAGGAUGCAGGAUGAAUGCUGACGUGGCACUACUGAUCCAAGGAAAGGAAGAAGAUCCUCAUAACAAGAAAGGAAGAUCAGAAUCUUAACAGAAAAUGGAAAGGAGAUAUACUCGAGACAAAAGGGUAUAAAUCCCAAGGGAAAGGGGCUCGGUAGGUUUGGCCGUCCCGAGCAAGAAUUGAGAGAGCAACAUUCACAAGAAGCUGAGUGAAAGGUGAGGUUCUUGGUGAGUGAUUGUAAUCUAGUUGCACAAUUGUUGUUGUGUUAGGUUGGGUAGAUUAGGAAUUGGUUAGUGUCGAAUUGCUGUGCAAGGUCGUGUAAAACUGAUUAGACAGAUCAUUUAUGACUGUCUAAGUGAUUUCUAAUAAGAGGCAAAAAUGUGUUUUGCAAAAUCAGUGUGUUCAACAUAUAGUCUCUGUGUUAUAUCCUUUACAUUUGGUAUCAGAGCGGGUUGCCUAUCUAGAUCAGUGGAACUAUAUCAGGUUUAGAUUCUGUGGUGACUAUGGAUAUCAUGGAGACCUCCAAGGAAUUGAUUGCUGUGCAUAAGCCACUGAUACUUCGUGCAGGGAACUUUGGUCAUUGGAAAGCUCGUAUGCGACAUCAUAUCAGGGCCAUUGACGAGGACGCUUGGACCGCUGUGGAACAAGGAUGGGAGUACCCAACUGUUGUGUCUGAGGAUGAGAAUGGGAAGAAAAUCCUGAUUCAAAAACCCAAGAACACCUGGACUGAAACUUAAAAAAACCUUUCGAAGUUUAACUCUAAGGCUAUUUCUGCUAUCUUUGCUGCUGUUGAUCUGGACGAAUUUGGGAUCAUCCAAGGGUGUGAUUCAGCAAAAGAAGCCUGGGAUACUCUGGUGAAUCAUUUUGAAGGCGACACAAGUGUUAAGAGGACUCGAAUUGAUCAUUUGGCUUCUGAAUUCGAGAACCUCAAAAUGAGUGCGGAUGAGUCAAUUGCGAGUUUCACCACCAAGCUGAGCACUAUUGCGAAUGAGGCUGCUGUCCUUGGGAAAACAUACAAGGACAAGAAGUUGGUCAAGAAGUUGCUUAGAUGUCUACCUCCGAAAUUUGCAGCUCACAAAACUGUUGUGAAAUACUCUAUGGAUACAGACAACCUGAAGUUUGACAAACUUGUUGGUCUACUUAAGGCAGAGGAAAUGGAGGCAACAGAUGAUCAGAAGAGUUGUCAGAAGGGUAUUGCCUUCGCAGUUACUGAUGACUAUAAAAGGAUGAUGCAGGUGGAAGAAAACCUUAGUCUUCUUGCUAAGAACUUCAACAAGAUGCUCAAAAGAGUUGAAAAGGGGCAAAAUCGAUUCACCAAGGUUCAAAGAUCAGAUUCGGAUCGAGGAAAUUACAAGAGGACCGAAAGUGACCGUUCUGGAAAGAAACGAGACCUGCAGUGCCAUGAGUGUGAAGGUUUCGGCCACUUCAAGAGUGAGUGUCCUUUGACUAAGAGGAAAGAACUGAAGUGUGGAGAGUGCAAAGGUUUCGGACACACCAGAGCCGAAUGUCCUAACAAUCUGAAAAGUAAGGACAAGUCCAUGAUCGUGUUUGAAGACUCUGACACUGAUGAGGAGGAGGAACCAGAAACCGAGAACCUUAUGCUUAACUUUAUGGCAUUAACGGUUCAAGAUGAGAAGAAAUCUCAAUCGGCACUUACAGAUUCGGAGUCUGAAUCAGAAGAGGAUGACAUAGAUCCCAAGACAGAAUACCGCAAACUGUACGACAACUGGGUGAAGUUGAGCACAGAAAAUCUUCAGUUAGUAAAAGACAAGGCACUGUUGAAGGCACAGCUCAACAUCUUUGAAAUGGAACGAACGCCUCUAUCAGCUGAUGAAUCUGACAAGUCAACCGACUUGAAGGGUGAAGUGGACUUGGACCUGAAGGAUGAGUUAGCUAAAGAGCAAGAAAGAAGGAAGGUUCUUGAAGAUAAACUCGACAAUCUGAGGGAGGUUGUGUGUCUUGAAAAGGAGAAGGCAAGAGAGCUUCAAAGUCAGCUGGUUGAGAAUCAUAAAAAGAUCAGGAUGCUCAACACUGGAGCUGAGUCUCUGGACAAGAUUCUGUGUGCUGGACAACCUCUGAAGAAGAAUUAGGGUUUGGGAUAUUCAGGAGGAGUUCUGAUAGAUCGUCCCACGACACAAGCUGGUACAAUUCCAGUUUUUGUUUAUGGAGGAACAUCUGUGAGUGAACUGUCAAAGGAGUGUGCUGGAAAGUCAUCUGUGAGUGAACCUUCAAAGGAGGGUGCUGAAAAGCCCCAGGUUAUAGAAAAAUCUGUCACUCAGGAAUCAAAAGAAGAGACCAUGUGUCUGAAACAAGAGACAAAGGUCAAGCCAAUCAGUGGUGGGAAAAAGAAACGAGUCUGUUUCUUUUGUCACAAACCGGGCCACAUUAAGAGGAGAUGUUUCAAACUGAAGAAAAUUAUAAAAAAGGCUUGGAGCCAGCGCCAGUGUUACCCAGAACCAAAGCACUUUGGAAAGGUGUGGAUUGACAGACGAAUUAUGUACGGAGAUCAGGCGACAAUUUGUGAGACUCAAAAGGACUUAACUGAGAAAACUGUCCUUUGUAACUUGUCCAGGAUCUCAACCACUGUUCCAAAAGUUGUGAGCAAUGUUGCCUACACCUCAACUGAUGGUGAAGCAGAGGGUGCAUGGUAUUUUGAUAGUGGGUGUUCGCGACACAUGACCGGAGUCCUGGAAAGCUUUGAUCAAUUACAGAAAGUCAAAGGAGGACAGGUUACCUUUGGUGAUGGAGGACAUGCAAAGAUUCUUGGUGUUGGCAAUCUUUGUGGUGAGGAACAACCACAGCUGGUCAAUGUGUAUUAUGUUCAUGGCUUGAAGGCAAACCUAAUCAGUGUCAGUCAACUUUGCGAUGAGGGCUUGAAGGUAGUAUUUACACGUAAAGAGUGCCAAGCUCUGGAUGAGAAUAGCAACGUGGUUCUUUAUGGUAUACGGUCUGGUAACAAUUGUUACAUGUGGAGUACAUCGAACAAGUGUCUUUCAGCUCGCGAAUCCCAGUUGGACUUGUGGCACAAACGGUUAGGUCACAUGAAUGUCAAAGGAUUAAGUAAACUGGUGAAGGCAGAAGCCGUAAGAGGAAUUCCAAACCUUGAGAACUCCACAGAUACCGUGUGUGCAGCAUGCCAAAAGGGAAAACAGAUAAAGGUCCAACACAAGCCUCUGAGUGAGAUUCGUUCAUCACGAAUUCUUGAGCUAGUGCACAUGGACCUUAUGGGACCAAUCCAGACUGAGAGCAUUAAUGGUAAAAAGUACAUCUACGUACUUGUUGAUGACUAUUCAAGAUACACAUGGGUCAGGUUUCUGAGAGAAAAAUCUGAUGCAACUGAAAGCUUCAAGAUACUUGCGCUGCAGCUGAAAACAGACAAAGGUGGCAUUAUACAGAUUCGAAGUGAUCAUGGUGGUGAGUUUCAGAAUGAUGCAUUUGAAAAAUUCUGUCAAAGCCAAGGAAUCAAACACCAAUACUCAGCACCUCGCACUCCUCAACAGAAUGGUGUAGUGGAGAGGAAAAACAGGACUCUACAAGAAAUGGCCAGGGCUAUGUUACACGGAAAUAAUGUGGCUCCACGUUUUUGGGCUGAAGCAAUAAACACAGCGUGUUACAUCAUUAAGCGUGUGUACGUGAAGCCUGGAACUCAGUCGACUCCCUACGAAAUAUGGAAUGGCAAGACACCGAAUCUGAGCUACUUUCAUAUCUUUGGCUGUGUUUGCCAUAUUCUCAAUGACAAGGACAAUCUUGGAAAAUUCGAUUCAAGAAGUGACACAGGAAUGUUCUUGGGCUACGCAGUGAACAGUAGAGCUUUCAGAGUGUAUAACUAUCAAACUAAAAUGGUAGGAUAAUGCAUAAAUGUUGUGUUUGAUGAUCAGAACACGUGUGUUCUUGAAGAAGUCAUAUCUGAUGAAACCGGAACGUUUGACAAUGGUGUGUCACACACUGAAGCCCAGGUUGAUGAAGGAUCUGCCGAAGGUGAAGAACUCAGUGGUGCACAUGACCAUAUUGUGGAGCAGAACCAAGAGUCGGUCCACAAGAAUCACUCCUCUGAUGAUGUCAUCGGUGAUGUUUUUGGUGAGAGAAGAACCAGAAACAAAAAGAUUGACUUCAAAGCCAUGGUCAAGCUAGCCUGCUUCAUAUCAUUCUUUGAGCCUACCACAGUUCAACAAGCUCUAGAUGAUGAUUUCUGGGUUGCAGCAUGUCACGAAGAACUGGAACAAUUCGUGCGACUUGAUGUGUGGGACUUAGUGCCACCACCACCCAAUGUCAACAUUGUGGAGACUAAGUGGAUAUUCAAAAACAAGACUGAUGAGGACGGCAAUGUCAUCAGAAACAAGGCACGACUGGUUGCACAAGGCUACUGUCAGAUUGAGGGGAUUGAUUUUGACGAAACUUUUGCUCCGGUUGCUCGUUUGGAAUCAAUUCGCCUCUUGUUUGGGGUUGCCUGUAAAUUGAAAAUCACUCUUUAUCAAAUGGAUAUGAAGUGUGCAUUCUUGAAUGGUCUGCUUCAGGAAGAGGUAUAUGUGGCUCAACCCAAGGGCUUUGAGGAUCCUGAAUUCCCGAACCAUGUCUACAAACUGAAGCGGGCACUCUAUGGUUUGAAACAAGCUCCUAGAGCUUGGUAUGAACGACUGGCUCAGUUUUUGAUGAAAGCCGGAUUUCAGAGGGGAAGUGUGGACAAGACGCUAUUUAUCCAAACCAUGCGCCGAGACAUCCUGAUUGUUCAAGUGUAUGUUGAUGACAUAAUCUUUGGUGCCACACAACAGAGCUUGGUUGAUCAGUUUGUGGUGACAAUGACCAGGGAAUUUCAGAUGAGCAUGGUUGGGGAGUUGAGCUACUUCCUUGGGUUACAAGUCAAACAAACUUCUGAAGACAUCUUUGUUUCCCAAAGCACCUACUCGAAGAAUCUUGUGAGACGGUUCGAGAUGCAGACAAGUAAAAGUGCUACCACCCCCAUGAGCACUACGAACAAACUGUCCAAGGAUGAAGGAGGACAGCAUGUUGAUGAGAAACUGUACCGUGCCAUGAUAGGGAGUUUGUUGUACCUUACUGCAAGCCGACCUGACAUCUGCCUGAGUGUUGGCCUCUGUGCACGCUAUCAGGCAUCACCACGUGUGUCACACUUGAAUGCUGUCAAGCGUGUGAUCAAAUACGUUAAAGGAACCUUGGAUUAUGGGGUGCAUUACACAAAGGAAACUAAUGUAAAUCUUGCUGGUUUUUGUGAUGCAGAUUGGGCUGGGUGUCUAGAUGACAGAAAGAGCACGUCCGGCGGCUGUUUCUUCUUGGGGAACAAUAUGGUAUCUUGGCACAGCAAGAAGCAGAAUUGCGUGUCAUUGUCCACUGCAGAAGCUGAAUAUGUGGCAUUGGGGAGCUGCUGCACUCAACUGCUCUGGCUGAAGCAAAUGCUUGCUGACUAUGGUAUCACUUCUGACUCUUUCCUUGUUAAGUGUGACAAUAAAAGUGCAAUUGAUCUCACAAAAAAUCCUGUUCAACAUUCUCGCACAAAACAUAUUGAUACCAGGCAUCACUUUGUUCGAGGUUUAGUAGAGGAUAAACUUGCAGUUAUUGAACAUGUUGCAUCUGAGUCACAAUUAGCUGAUAUCUUUACAAAACCCUUAGACCUGAACAGUUUUCUUCGACUGCGAAAGGCCUUAGGGGUGUGUGAGUUUUGAGUUUGCGUGUUACGCAGGGGGUGGUGCACGGUUCAUGUAUAUUUGGUGUACGUUCUUCAAAAACCUCUCUUGGUAAAUCACCUGUUGAACACCUCUCCUGGACUCUAAGUCUCUGCUUGUGGGGAGAUGUGUCCCGGUAUGAUUGUCACUCAGAUUGGACUGAGGUGUCACCACACUUUAAGUCUGACUCUGAUCACUGGCAUGAUCGGGGAAGCCGAUGUGAGAGUGCAUGCCACGGUGAGGAUGGUCUUAACUACCAGCCUGUUUUCGAUCUGUUCGUUUGGUGUGUGUGAAAGCUACUCAGCUGAGAAAGCUGCACUUAGUUGGGCCAGCAGUGAUCACAGAGAUCUACCUUCAGCAUGUGCAAAAGAAAAAAAAAAUUUUAAUAACGAAAAAGGGGGGUUAACACAAAAUUUAUGCACAUCGUAUGGUGUAUCACUCAAUUUGAAUAAGUGUGAAUGCUCCUCAGCUGGGGGAAUGCAGCACUGUGAUGAUCUUGCAUAGAAUCUGAUGGUACAUCUCUGUGAUUCAUUGUUGCGGUAGGACCAUUCGACUGUGAUGGCUGAAGUGCACACCUGGCAAUGCUCUCCUGUUAGCCUCGAUCAAACACGUCUUCUCUUGACUGCAGUGACUGAAAAAGGGAGAGAUGCUGGACAGCUGAUGGAAUGUGUGAAGGCUCCUUGGCUAAGGGUAUGCCACACAUUCCCACCCAGAGAGUGAGUUAGCUGAUAAAUAUUGAUUUCUGUUUGCCUAUGGUGUACCACCCUCACUAACUAAAACCGCUGUGUUUACUCGCUCACACAUAGAAGCAAGUGAUAUUCUUGGUGUGUGUUACUCAGGGUGUGAUGUGUUCCAAUUUCGAGCAUGGGGUCCUCCUAUCUUGAACCUUGUACAUUUGUGGGCCUUGUUGAUUUUUUUUUUUGGCAUCGACAUUUGUGAGGAUUUUUGGUUGUUGCACUUAUUCUGGGCUUCUGGCCCAUUUGUUACACUAAUUGUGGGCUGAGUUUGUGUUUAACUAGGGUUCUUUCCCGCGAUCCUUUAAAAGGUGGAGGGUGACGUUUCGUGUGUCACGAACCCUAAUCGUGUGGUACUGUCUCGAGCCGCUUCUGUCUCUCCAUCUUGGGUCACAAUGCCGCGCAACACUCGCUCCGCCACUGCCAAGUUGCUUGCCUCCGCAAUCGAUGCUUCGCGUCGCCGUUCCCCAGCGGACGAAGAAACUCUCGCUGAAGCCCUUCUGCGUCUUCGAGCUAAACAGAAGGCUCUAUCUCGCUCCGGGAAAGCACCAAUUGAAAUUCCAAGUGCUGAAGAGGACGAGAGUGAGGAUUCCUCUGCUGCUGAUGAGUUCAACCAUCUGUUUGCCGGAUCGCGGGCAUCUCCGGUGGAUUUCUCAAAUCCCUUUGCCCCCUCUGCUGGUGAUGAGAUGGACGAAGACUCUGCUGAGGACCUUGAGGCCUUUGUGGAUCCCCGUGAGGCAGAUCACCCGCUUUACCUGGCUCUUGAGGCUCGCUACUCUGAAAAUCGUCGUGAGCAAGUGGUGCGAGAUCGCAUGCAUCCGGAACUUACGCGUCCACGCUUGCGACCCAUCGACAACUUUUCCUCUCUAGCUGCUAAGGACAGGUUUGUCUCCUUUCGUCUUCGUUCUUUCCACAAUCAGAAGUAUCUCCCUCUCGAUGAUUCAAAACUCGUGGGAGCACGCAAGAUCAUUGAUGAUGCGGGUUUGAUCUAUACGGUACUCGAUGUGGAACCCUACAAACCAACUGUUGUCCAUGAGUUUUAUGCCAAUCUGGGGGAUUUGGAAUAUCACCUUGGCACGAACCGCCUUUAUGUCCGUGGCUUGAUGUUUGAAUUUACACCGGAAAUCAUUAACAAGAUGUUCUUGGUUGAUGACUCAUUGCCUCAUGGUGAGUGGGAACGAAUCAACAUUGAUGAAGCUGUCCAGUGUGUGUCCAGCGGUCGUAAGCAUCGGUGGGAAGGCUUUCGCUCCCGGCACCUUACUCCUCUCCAUGGGGUUAUCUACAAGCUGUGCUGCUGCAACUGGAUGCCGACAACCAACAAUACCACCAUGGUUAAGGAUCGCAUUCGUCUUCUCGCUCACAUUGUGCAAGGACAUAAGAUCAAUUUUGGUCGGUUGGUGUACGACCAAAUUCUGACCGCCGCUCGGACUCUUGAGAUGGUAAACAACAAGCUGAUGUUUCCCAACCUCAUCUUCCAACUCCUCAGUUUUCAGCACACGGUUCCGGGCCAUCGAGGCGAUCAACCUCUUGCUGGUUUUCCUCUCAAGAUCACUUUGGAUCCGAAAGCUGGGAAGGGCUCUGGCGAUGAUGAACCUCAGACGGCUCCGUCUCUUGCUGCUGAUUUGGACCAGCUGGCUACGUGGCUCAAACGAGUUCAGCUCCGGGUUCGAGGUAAGUGUCUCAGAUUUGGUCAUCUUGCCAUGUUUGUGUAUUUUUAUCUAAAUGUGCACUCAAGCAGGGGGAGAAUAUGCUGAGUUAAGGGCGACUGCAAACGGUGAUGGAGAUGAGGAUCGUUCGGUUGAAGGGGAGCAGAGUGGUGGCGCAUCAGCUGAGGGGGAGAAUAGCGACGACACGAGUGAUGAUGGAAACUAGAUGCAUUUUUAGAUGUAUUUUAAGUUUUCGUUACUAUGUCUCAUCCCUGUGUCUUAUGCUUGAACCUUGUUUGAGUUGUUGUGCUUUUGGUUUGAUUUUCGGUUUCUAAAAGCUUGUCUGGACUUAUGGAUGUUUGGCUUUAAAAGGUGUUGGAAUGUCCUUCUGGCUCAUUGAAUAUCCUUAUUGUUUUGGAUAGUUUGUAUGUGCGUGUUGGUUGGUAUUUUCAGGAAAGCUUGGAGUAUCACAUUCAGAUAAAAAGGGGGAGAUUGUAAGAGUCGUGACUCCACAAGGCAAGAUGGGUUACACAUGGAAGAGCGGGAAUAACACAAGUUUGCAAGUGACACGUAGGAUGCAGGAUGAAUGCUGACGUGGCACUACUGAUCCAAGGAAAGGAAGAAGAUCCUCAUAACAAGAAAGGAAGAUCAGAAUCUUAACAGAAAAUGGAAAGGAGAUAUACUUGAGACAAAAAGGUAUAAAUCCCAAGGGAAAGGGGCUCGGUAGGUUUGGCCGUCCCGAGCAAGAAUUGAGAGAGCAACAUUCACAAGAAGCUGAGUGAAAAGUGAGGUUCUUGGUGAGUGAUUGUAAUCUAGUUGCACAACUGUUGUUGUGUUAGGUUGGGUAGAUUAGGAAUUGGUCAGUGUCGAAUUGCUGUGCAAGGUCGUGUAAAACUGAUUAGACAGAUCAUUUAUGACUGUCUAAGUGAUUUCUAAUAAGAGGCAAAAAGGUGUUUUGCAAAAUCAGUGUGUUCAACAUAUAGUCUCUGUGUUAUAUCCUUUACACAACAAACUUCAACGCAGGAAAUGUACCGGUUAGAAGAUUCUGUGAUAGUCUGAAAUGGAAAAAGCUGGUCAUGUUGGCGAAACUCAUGGGCACGACUCCAAAAAA
rnacentral:lncRNA from 1 species